rnacentral:sRNA from 1 species
UUUUAGCCCAGAUGGAAACGGCAUCCUUUUACAAAGCUUCCAGCCUUUUGAAGGCUGGAAGCUUUGUAAAAGAUAUAGUGGACAGCUGGAAAUAGC